rnacentral:misc_RNA from 1 species
CCGAGUGAGGGCCCUCUGGGUCCAACCUCCCACCCGUGUUUAUCGUACCUUGUUGCUUCGGCGAGCCCGCCACUUGUGGCCGCUGGGGGGGCACCUGCCCCCGGGCCCGCGCCCGCCGAAGACACCAUUGAACGCUGUAUGAAGAUUGCAGUCUGAGCUUAUUAGCUAAAUUAGUUA